AUUAGUUUGAAAGGAAAAAAACAGCCUGAAUGUCAGUUUUCAUUUCACCGCUUUCCUCUUUUAGUCCACUUUUUCAUGUGUUUUUUUCAAUAGUAAUUCACAAAUGGUGUGGUGGAGGUGUGUGGACUUACUUGGACACAAAUGGUGUGUGGACUUACUUGGACACAAAUGGUGUGUGGACUUACUUGGACACAAAUGGUGUGUGGACUUACUUGGACACAAAUGGUGUGGUGGAGGUGUGUGGACUUAGUUGGACACAAAAGGUGUGGUGGAGGUGUGUGGACUUACUUGGAC